rnacentral:rRNA from 1 species
AGAGCGAACGCUGGCGGCAGGCCUAACACAUGCAAGUCGAACGAACCCUUCGGGGUUAGUGGCAGACGGGUGAGUAACACGUGGGAACGUGCCUUUUGGUUCGGAACAACUCAGGGAAACUUGAGCUAAUACCGGAUAAGCCCCUAGGGGGAAAGAUUUAUCGCCAUUAGAGCGGCCCGCGUCUGAUUAGCUAGUUGGUGAGGUAAAGGCUCACCAAGGCUUCGAUCAGUAGCUGGUCUGAGAGGAUGAUCAGCCACACUGGGACUGAGACACGGCCCAGACUCCUACGGGAGGCAGCAGUGGGGAAUCUUGCGCAAUGGGCGAAAGCCUGACGCAGCCAUGCCGCGUGAAUGAUGAAGGUCUUAGGAUUGUAAAAUUCUUUCACCGGGGACGAUAAUGACGGUACCGGAGAAGAAGCCCGGCUAACUUCGUGCCAGCAGCCGC